rnacentral:rRNA from 1 species
UACGUAGGGUGCGAGCGUUAAUCGGAAUUACUGGGCGUAAAGGGUGCGCAGGCGGUUCUGCAAGUCAGGCGUGAAAUCCCCGGGCUUAACCUGGGAACUGCAUUUGUGACUGCAUGGCUGGAGUGCGGCAGAGGGGGAUGGAAUUCCGCGUGUAGCAGUGAAAUGCGUAGAUAUGCGGAGGAACACCGAUGGCGAAGGCAAUCCCCUGGGCCUGCACUGACGCUCAUGCACGAAAGCGUGGGGAGCAAACAGG